AGUGCACAUGCGCAAAUGCAAGUCCAUGGCUACCAGUGUGAGUACCUGUGCUUACUAGUUCUCAUGAACUUGACCUCAUCAACAGGCACAGUCUGUGUUCAGUGCGCAGGCGCAGAGUAAAGCCUGUUCACUCCUCUCCCUUACAGCCUUGUGAUCAAAGGACCACAUCUUGAUGAUGUAGGCUUGUUAACUGGUUCACAGCUCUGAGAACGCUGUCUAUGCACGGGACUCUCUUGAAAACAAGUUGAAGGCGAGGAAGUUGAAGCAAAGUUUACAAGAAAAUUCAAAUAACCCUCUGGUUUCGCUGUGUUAUCUCUGGCUGUCUGGAACUCACUCUGUAGACCAGGCUGGCCUCUAACUCAUAGAGAGCCUCCUGCCUCCCGAGUGCUGGGAUUAAAGCGUGCACCACAAUUGCCCGGCCAAGUUACUCUAAUAUCAACAAAAACUUGGGAGCCGAAUAUCAGGCCAGAAGAUGACAUUUAGAUGCCUUGGAACUGGAAUCAGAGAUGAUUGUAAACCCACGAUUUGGGUGUUGAGAAGAGCCUUGGCCCUCUGCAAGAGCAGCAAUGUUCUUAACUAAUGAGCCAGCAUUCCAGACCCUUUCCCCAGUCUCUGUUAUGCUGUUCUCUUUUCUUUUGUUUCAGGAAAAUUUUAUUUUCCAUUAAAAAACCUUGUAUUUA